UUAAAUCAACAAUUGAUUAAUAAGAGUUCAAUUUAAUCCAGUUUAUGAAAAUUUGUUCUUUCUUUUAUAAUUUUCAUUCAUUUUCUAGAAAUAAUUACAUUUGUGAAAAUGGAAUUGGGUGAUUUACCGUACGAGUGUUUAUUGUGUAUAUUUGAUUGUUUUUCGAAUCUCAAACUGCUUUUGAAUCUGUCAACAGUUUGUAAACAAUGGAACAUUUUGGUGAAACAGCGACUGAAAAAAAUUCGACAUUUACAUGUCGAGAGUAAAUCCGAUUUAUCAUAUGUCCCUUUUUCAUCUGACAAUCACAUCUACACGGAUGAUAUUGGAUAUUUGGAAAGAGUUAAUGUCUCUCAGUUAUUACCGAACCUUAAGUUUUUUACUAAAAAACCUUAUCUAGGGUCAAGAUGUACCUGUAAAAUGAUGGUAAAUGUUUUGUCCACUUCGAAACCGUUGGUUGGACUCAUUUGUAAAGCUCAAUGUCUUGUCGCAGGAAGGAUGCUAGGCUUUUACUGCCACGUCAAUGUCGAUGAGAUGGUUAAACACUGUGGUAACCUCGAGUAUCUGGACACCUUGUUUCAACCUUUUCUGCAUAGCUAUUUCUUAAAAUAUAAAUUCGGACAAAAUUUGAAAUAUUUUGAAGGUUCAAUCGAAAGUUACAACGAAGAUCCGGAAAAUAAAGAUUAUGAAACGCUGUUGGAGGAAACAAAUUUGCUAUGUUGCUACUUGAAGCAAAUGUCAAAUCUUGAAGUUCUGAGUUUGAGAGAACCACUAAUUGAACCUCGUCUUUGGCCUUUACCAAAAAUGAAAUUGGAAGAGAUUCGAUUUAAGGAUAUAACCACAGAAACGCCAGUCUUCCAGUUCUUGCCUUUGCUCCCUGAUUUACGAAGUAUCGAUUUGGGUAUUCGUUAUGUUAACCAUGAUAAUGAAGCUUUUCGUGAUUCGUAUACUCAUCUGAAUGUCCAAGAUGUAGCUCUAGACAUCCAGGUCUUCGGAAGGUCGAGUAUCAGAUGCUUGAAGCUGAUUAGAAGUAUUUUGAUCAAGUUUCCUAAUCAUAAAAGACUGUUCAUUCGUCUCACUUACCAAUUUUCGAUAACUAAUGAGGAUUUGGUUCAGAUAAUCAAAAAUUCACCGAAUUUAACUCUAUUUGUCUUGGAUGUAAUGAGUUGGGGAGAUGCAAAUACUAUUGAGACAAUCGAUAAAUUCUGUAAAUCAACAGGUCGUCGAAUAUCCUUUUACUUGCUUCGCGAUGAUCGCACAUGGAAUUACUCUGUUAGAACUGGAUCAUAUACACGAUAUGUAUUGGGAGAAGAUUGUGCGAAUCCUGGAACGACUGAUAACAAAUUCUUACAAAAAAACAAUUAAAUUUUUGACAAUGGAAUUAACUGAUUUACCUUACGAUUGUUUAUCGUAUAUAUUUGAUUGUAUUCCUGACCUUAAAUCGCUUUUGGAUAUGUCAACAGCAAUGGAACAUUUUGGCGAAACGAAGAAUCAACAAAAUUCGAUAUUUACAUGGUAAGUUAAUAAUAAGGUAAUUUAAUUUUGAAUUACAAAAAGAUUAAAUUAACUGCAUCUUUUCAAUUCUCCUUAUCCAUGGACAAAGUUGAGCAAGAUAUCGAACCUGAUCUUGCAGCGUCUCCCAAUCAUCUUUAUACGAAUGAAUCCAUUUUCAGCAGAAUGUUGAUUAGCUGGAU